UCCCUGGUGGCUCACCUGGUAAAGAAUCCGCCUGCAAAGUGGGAGACCUGGGUUCGAUCCCUAGGUUGGGAA
rfam:TPA: Bos taurus chromosome 14, whole genome shotgun sequence.